GGCUCGGUGGUGGAUGGUUCAUACUUGCUUUCUGUGGUGUCUCGAGUGAAGUCUUGAAGCAGGAGGAGUCUGUUCGAAUCAGGCCCGAGCUA